rnacentral:lncRNA from 1 species
CAUGCCUUAUGCACACACACAAGACAGCAAGACAGCCAUUCCUAUCCUCAACAGCUACAGGAGCCAGAGCAGAGAGACGAAAUCUUGUUAUUACUUUGUUUUUCCCUGCUAUUCUUCAAUAUGGGCAUCUUUUGACAUCUUUUGCCAAACAGUGGAUUCAAAGCAUAUUGUGGACACAGUAGGCCUAUAUUGACGUGAGACCAUGCAGAAAAUGCUACUUUCUCUCAACCUCCUGGAUCAGCAUUCAGCAGCCUCGUGACACAGUUGAAGCCAUUAUCGAAUUCUUUGCGUGUACCGGUAUGUACCCUGGAUCAAGCAGCACUUGCAUUAUACAGGAGAUUCCACCCAAAAUCUAAACCAUGAGUCCAAGCUGAAGAGGAAUAUUUCCAAAAUGAGGUCUACACACACAGAGGUUACUUUUCCCUUCAUUAUAGAGAUAUC